GAUGAACGCUGGUGGCGUGCCUAAUACAUGCAAGUCGAGCGAAUGGAUUAAGAGCUUGCUCUUAUGAAGUUAGCGGCGGACGGGUGAGUAACACGUGGGUAACCUGCCCAUAAGACUGGGAUAACUCCGGGAAACCGGGGCUAAUACCGGAUAACAUUUUGAACCGCAUGGUUCGAAAUUGAAAGGCGGCUUCGGCUGUCACUUAUGGAUGGACCCGCGUCGCAUUAGCUAGUUGGUGAGGUAACGGCUCACCAAGGCAACGAUGCGUAGCCGACCUGGGAGGGUGAUCGGCCACACGGGGACUGAGAAACGGCCCAGACGCCUACGGGAGGCAGCAGUAGGGAAUCUUCCGCAAUGGACGAAAGUCUGACGGAGCAACGCCGCGUGAGUGAUGAAGGCUUUCGGGUCGUAAAACUCUGUUGUUAGGGAAGAACAAGUGCUAGUUGAAUAAGCUGGCACCUUGACGGUACCUAACCAGAAAGCCACGGCUAACUACGUGCCAGCCGCCGCUGUAA
rnacentral:rRNA from 1 species